rnacentral:lncRNA from 1 species
CAAGCUGCAGUGGGGUGGGGACUUCAGAAGAGGCCACUUGUGAGCUGGCCAUGUUGGGGGAGCAGACUUUGCGCUCCUGGAGAGCAGGGACUGUGCAUCUGUGCUCACUUCCCAGUGCCGUGGCACAGGGCAGUGACGCCAGGACAGAUAAUGCCACACGCGGCUGCUCUUUGCAGAGUGCUCCCCGCCAGGCACUGGGCUCAGUGCUCUCCCUGCAGGCCUUCUCUCAGCCACGAUCCGAGUCCUGGUAGCUACACACAGAGCUCUGCAAUCAGCCUGACGAUUCCACGCCGCCCAGCUCAAACUAGCUGAGGCGCUGCAGACCUCAGCCAACAAGGAGCUUCUCCAAUCCCCCAGCAGGAGCUCCCCAAAGCAGACUCUGGGUCAAAGAUUCAACUGCAAGUAAUUUGCUUAGGAGAUGCCCCCAGGAAGUGCUACGAGAGAGGCAGAAGGCAGGCAGGGAGGCAGGAAGCAGGGAGAGCCAUGAAAAUGUGUGGUAAGGAGGUUACAGCUCAGGUCCUGGCUUGGGCCCCCAGGGAGUGCCCUCUGAGAGCCUAUGUGGAAGCAACCUCAGAGCUUUCUCUCUGGAAGGUCGAUGAAGCUGUGUUGCUAACCCACCAACUUCCACCCUCAUAGGUGAGGGCUGCAGCUUUUCUGGCACUUCUGGCUUGCCCUGGGCUUGCCCUGGCAGAGUGAGAGCCCUGAGUCAGGGAGACUCUGGGAGCCAAUUGCAUGCUUGGGAACUGCCUGCCCAUGACACCCAGGGGAACCCGAUGGGCCGGCAUGGACAGCUUCUGCCACUGGCUCCCAAAACAGCAGUGCACACAUAGGAGGAGGAAGCAGGACGACUUCUGGAUUAGAGCCUCUGGGCUUACAGGAACCAACUCUGAGCUGAAGCCACUGGCCAGGCUCUUGAAUAUGAUAAGAGAAUCACAGCAUGCGGCUCAGCACGUGGCUCAAGGCGGAUGUCAGCCCCGCUGGACACCAUGCUCCCCUCAGCCCUGCAUCUUCUUUCAGGCUGUCCCUUCUGCCCGGACAACGCUCUCCCACUCCCCUCCCCUCCUCACCCCUAGUCCCUUCACCUAAUUAACUCCUGGGCAUUCCUCGGGGCUCUGUCUUAAUGUCACCUCCUCUGAGAGCCCUCCUUGAUGCUCCAGAUUGGGUCAAGCAUAUUAUGAACCAUCACAAGGCCAUGCAUUCCUCCUGCAGAACCUGAGCUCAACAGAAAUAAAUCAAAACUUCACUCACCAGGGUAUCCUCAGAGUUCAUUGCCACAUCUGCCUCAUC